rnacentral:tRNA from 1 species
UCCCUGGUGGUCUAGUGGUUAGGACUUGGCACUUUCACCGCCCAAGGCCGGGGUUCAAUCCCUGGUCUGGGAA